rnacentral:rRNA from 1 species
ACUUACUUGGAUAACUGUGGUAAUUCUAGAGCUAAUACAUGCAAACAGAGCUCCGACCGGAGACGGAAGGAGUGCUUUUAUUAGAUCAAAACCAAUCGGUGGCGGGUUCGCUCGUCAUCGUACAACUUGGUGACUCUGAAUAACUUUACGCUGAUCGCACGGUCCUAGCACCGGCGACGCAUCUUUCAAAUGUCUGCCUUAUCAACUGUCGAUGGUAGGUUCUGCGCCUACCAUGGUUGUAACGGGUAACGGGGAAUCAGGGUUCGAUUCCGGAGAGGGAGCCUGAGAAACGGCUACCACAUCCAAGGAAGGCAGCAGGCGCGCAAAUUACCCACUCCCGGCACGGGGAGGUAGUGACGAAAAAUAACGAUACGGGACUCAUCCGAGGCCCCGUAAUCGGAAUGAGUACACUCUAAACCCUUUAACGAGGAUCAAUUGGAGGGCAAGUCUGGUGCCAGCAGCCGCGGUAAUUCCAGCUCCAAUAGCGUAUAUUAAAGUUGUUGCGGUUAAAAAGCUCGUAGUCGAAUUUGUGUCUCGCGCCGCUGGUACAUCGUCCGCGGUGUUUACUGGCGAGUCGCGAGACGUCCUGCCGGUGGGCUUAGCUCGCGAGGGCGGCCCAACUCAAUCCUGCCGCGGUGCUCUUCAUUGAGUGUCGAGGUGGGCCGGCACGUUUACUUUGAACAAAUUAGAGUGCUUAAAGCAGGCUAAAACUUCGCCUGAAUACUGUGUGCAUGGAAUAAUGGAAAUAGGACCUCGGUUCUAUUUUGUUGGUUUUCGGAACCCCGAGGUAAUGAUUAAUAGGAACGGAUGGGGGCAUUCGUAUUGCGACGUUAGAGGUGAAAUUCUUGGAUCGUCGCAAGACGGACAGAAGCGAAAGCAUUUGCCAAAAACGCUUUCAUUGAUCAAGAACGAAAGUUAGAGGUUCGAAGGCGAUCAGAUACCGCCCUAGUUCUAACUUUAAACGAUGCCAGCUAGCGAUCCGCCGACGUUCCUCCGAUGACUCGGCGGGCAGCUUCCGGGAAACCAAAGCUUUUGGGUUCCGGGGGAAGUAUGGUUGCAAAGCUGAAACUUAAAGGAAUUGACGGAAGGGCACCACCAGGAGUGGAGCCUGCGGCUUAAUUUGACUCAACACGGGAAACCUCACCAGGCCCGGACACCGGAAGGAUUGACAGAUUGAGAGCUCUUUCUUGAUUCGGUGGGUGGUGGUGCAUGGCCGUUCUUAGUUGGUGGAGCGAUUUGUCUGGUUAAUUCCGAUAACGAACGAGACUCUAGCCUGCUAACUAGGCGUAUUUUGGCAUCCUAAAGGCCGGCCGGCUUCGGGGUUCGCUUCGUAGUCGCGCUCGGUUUUUACUGCCGGCGUACAAACAUUUCUUCUUAGAGGGACAGGCGGCUUCUAGCCGCACGAGAUUGAGCAAUAACAGGUCUGUGAUGCCCUUAGAUGUUCUGGGCCGCACGCGCGCUACACUGAAGGAAUCAGCGUGUCCUCCCUGGCCGAGUGGCCCGGGUAACCCGCUGAACCUCCUUCGUGCUAGG